GAUGAACGCUGGCGGCGUGCCUAAUACAUGCAAGUCGAGCGCACGGACGAGAAGCUUGCUUCUCUGAUGUUAGCGGCGGACGGGUGAGUAACACGUGGAUAACCUACCUAUAAGACUGGGAUAACUUCGGGAAACCGGAGCUAAUACCGGAUAAUAUUUUGAACCGCAUGGUUCAAAAGUGAAAGACGGUCUUGCUGUCACUUAUAGAUGGAUCCGCGCUGCAUUAGCUAGUUGGUAAGGUAACGGCUUACCAAGGCAACGAUGCAUAGCCGACCUGAGAGGGUGAUCGGCCACACUGGAACGGAGACACGGUCCAGACUCCUACGGGAGGAAGCAGUAGGGAAUCUUCGGAAAUGGGCGAAAGCCUGACGGAGAAACGCGGCGUGAGUGAUGAAGGUCUUCGGAUCGUAAAACUCUGUUAUUAGGGAAGAACAUAUGUGUAAGUAACUGUGCACAUCGUGACGGUACCUAAUCAGAAAGCCACGGCUAACUACGUG
rnacentral:rRNA from 1 species